CAGCAGCCGCGGGAAUACGUAGGGUGCAAGCGUUAAUCGGAAUUACUGGGCGUAAAGGGUGCGUAGGCGGUUGUUUAAGUCUGUUGUGAAAUCCCCGGGCUCAACCUGGGAAUGGCAAUGGAAACUGGACGGCUAGAGUGUGUCAGAGGAUGGUGGAAUUCCCGGUGUAGCGGUGAAAUGCGUAGAGAUCGGGAGGAACAUCAGUGGCGAAGGCGGCCAUCUGGGACAACACUGACGCUGAAGCACGAAAGCGUGGGGAGCAAACAGGAUUAGAUACCCCCGUAGUCCCUGUCUCUUAUAC
rnacentral:rRNA from 1 species